GAUUAUGGCUCAGAACGAACGCUGGCGGCAUGGAUUAGGCAUGCAAGUCGAACGGGCGCAGCAAUGCGUCAGUGGCGGAAGGGUGAGGAACGCGUGAGUAACCUGCCUUCAAGUUGGGAAUAACAGUUGGAAACGACUGAUAAUACCGAAUGUGGCUUUGAUUCGCAUGGAUCAAUGGCUAAAGAUUUAUCGCUUGAAGAUGGGCUCGCGUCCCAUUAGCUAGUUGGUGAGGUAACGGCUCACCAAGGCAACGAUGGGUAGCUGGUCUGAGAGGAUGGUCAGCCACACUGGGACUGAGACACUGCCCAGACUCCUACGGGAGGCUGCAGUCGAGAAUCUUGGGCAAUGCGCGAAAGCGUGACCCAGCAAUGCCGCGUGCGGGAUGAAGGUCUUCGGAUUGUAAACCGCUGUCACUCGGGACGAAAUAAUGACGGUACCGAGGGAGGAAGCCACGGCUAACUACGUGCCAGCCGCUGC
rnacentral:rRNA from 1 species